rnacentral:rRNA from 1 species
UGCAGUCGCACGAGAAAGGGACUUCGGUCCUGAGUACAGUGGCGCACGGGUGAGUAACACGUGAAUCAUCUACCUUCGAGUGGGGAAUAACUGAGAGAAAUCUUAGCUAAUACCGCAUAAUACCUACGGGUCAAAGCAGCAAUGCGCUUGAAGAGGAGUUCGCGGCAGAUUAGUUAGUUGGCGGGGUAAUGGCCCACCAAGACGAUGAUCUGUAUCCGGCCUGAGAGGGCGCACGGACACACUGGAACUGAAACACGGUCCAGACUCCUACGGGAGGCAGCAGUGGGGAAUUUUGCGCAAUGGGGGAAACCCUGACGCAGCAACGCCGCGUGGAGGAUGAAAUAUCUUGGUAUGUAAACUCCUUUCGAUGGGGAAGAUAAUGACGGUACCCAUAGAAGAAGCCCCGGCUAACUUCGUGCCAGCAGCCGCGGUAAUACGAGGGGGGCAAGCGUUGUUCGGAAUUAUUGGGCGUAAAGGGUGCGUAGGCGGUUUGACAAGUCUUAUGUGAAAUCUUCGGGCUCAACCCGAAGUCUGCAUGGGAAACUGUCGGGCUUGAGUAUGGGAGAGGUGAGUGGAAUUUCCGGUAUAGCGGUGAAAUGCGUAGAUAUCGGAAGGAACACCUGUGGCGAAAGCGGCUCACUGGACCAUAACUGACGCUGAUGCACGAAAGCUAGGGGAGCAAACAGGAUUAAGAUACCCUGGUAGUCCUAGCCCUAAACGAUGAUUGUUGAUGUGGGGGGUACCCAAUCCUCCCGUGUCGAGCUACGCGAUACAUCGCUGGGAGUACGUCGCAGCUGACUCAGAAUGACGGGCCCGCACGUGACAUGGUUAAUCGACGCACC